rfam:Salmo salar isolate Sally breed double haploid chromosome ssa28, whole genome shotgun sequence.
AAUGCACACAUUUGUAAGUCGCUCUGGAUAAGAGCGUCUGCUAAAUGACUUAAA